ACAGGCUGACUUUUGUAGCUCGUCCUCAGAGUAAUGGCAAAGCUAAGGUGACGAAUAGGAUCUUGCUACAGGGAUUGAAAGCUCGACUCGGUCAGAUAAAGGGAUUGUGGGUUGAAGAGCUAUAUUAUGUGCUAUGGGAGUAUCGAACGACUCAACGUCUUUCAAUAAAAAAAACCUCUUUCAAGCUGGCCUUCGACAUUGAAACUGUAAUACCACU
rnacentral:lncRNA from 1 species